UUGCUACUUUGNUGACGAGCGGCGGACGGGUGANUAAUGCUUGGGAACAUGCCUUGAGGUGGGGGACAACNGUUGGAAACNACUGCUAAUACCGCAUAAUGUCUACGGACCANAGGGGGCUUCGGCUCUCGCCUUUAGAUUGGCCCANGUGGGAUUANCUAGUUGGUGAGGUAAUGGCUCACCAAGGCAACNAUCCCUANCUGGUUUGANAGGAUGAUCANCCACACUGGGACUGANACACGGCCCANACUCCUACGGGAGGCAGCANUGGGGAAUAUUGCACAAUGGGCGCAAGCCUGAUGCANCCAUGCCGCGUGUGUGAAGAAGGCCUUCNGGUUGUAAAGCACUUUCAGUCAGGAGGAAAGGUUAGUANUUAAUACCUGCUAGCUGUGACGUUACUGACAGAAGAAGCACCGGCUAACUCCGUGCCAGCAGCCGCGGUAAUACGGAGGGUGCGAGCGUUAAUCNNAAUUACUGGGCGUAAAGCGUACGCAGGCGGUUUGUUAAGCGAGAUGUGAAAGCCCCGGGCUCAACCUGGGAACUGCAUUUCNAACUGGCAAACUAGAGUGUGAUANAGGGUGGUAGAAUUUCAGGUGUANCGGUGAAAUGCGUANAGAUCUGAAGGAAUACCGAUGGCNAANGCAGCCACCUGGGUCAACACUGACGCUCAUGUACGAAAGCGUGGGGAGCAAACAGGAUUAGAUACCCUGGUAGUCCACGCCGUAAACGAUGUCUACUAGAAGCUCGGAGCCUCGGNUCUGUUUUUCAAAGCUAACGCAUUANGUAGACCGCCUGGNGAGUACNGCCGNNNGGUUA
rnacentral:rRNA from 1 species